CGUUGGAAGUGCUGGUGCUCUACAGAGGCUGCAGCUGCAUCCCAGAGUGACACAGCAUGCACACUCACUGUUUUUUUGUUUUUUGUUUUUGCCAGUCUCCCCUCCCCAAGAAGCACUUUGUGCAACCUGGAAAUAGGUACCUCAGGGCUGGCUGCACAGCCCUCAAGGACCUACUUCCAGGUUGCAGGGAAUGGGGCCCUAGUGGUAGGUCAUCUGCUUUGCAUGCAGGAGGUCCUGGGCUCAAUCCUUGGCAUCUUCCGUUAGGGCUGGGAAAGACUUCUGCCUGAAACCUUGGAAAGUUGUUGCCAGUCAGUACAGACAAUGCUGAGUUAGGUGGAUCCAUGGUCUUACUCAGUCCAAGGCAGUUCCUAUGUUUAUGUAUGUUCUGGGAAGAAGGGAGAUGCAUACAUAAAAUAAAUAGGAUUGGGCUGCUAGUUCUUCUCUUGCUUUAUAUUGGAUUCAGAACUGCACCAUCAAAUUACUGUAAGAAAUUCAAACUUUGUACUGACCCGGAAGCAAAAAAGAAAAGGAAAGUGAUAGUUCUGUUGUGCUGGGGACUCAUGAAAAGUGAACAGCAUAGUUGGUGAAACAUUAUGUUGGUCAGAGCCCCCACCCCCCAAAUCCAAAUCUCUUUUUUAUUUGACAACGUCCCUCUUGAUAUUCAACAAUAUAAUUUCUGAUCUGUGUUCAUGACAGACUGCAAAAUGAUUUUCAGAGAGGAAUGUGGGACUCCAUGGCUACUGCUGCUGGUUUUGCAAAUGAUGUCACUUUUCAGCAAGAUGACCACAGGCAGCAGGGGGCUAAGAAGAAAUUGCAUUUCCCAGGACCCCUGCAGACAACCCCUUGAAUGAUAUAGGACAUCCCAUCCCUCAGUUCUGCAAGAAUCUAUUCUUUUCAAGUAGGGCCGGAAACCUGGAAAAAUUGUCUUUCUUUUGGUUACACCCUCGGCGGUCUUUCCCAUAUAAUGCCUAACCUGAAAAAACAGAAACAGUAGAACUCUCCGACCUUCUCUACUAGGCUGGCAGGACUCCUGGACUUCCGAUAUGAGUUUCAGGAAACAUAAUGCUCCCACUCCUUCUUCUCCCACAGGCCUGCCUCCAUAUUUCACUGUCAAAAUGCAGUCCAACCUUGCUGUUGACAGAUGCUAACACUAAUUAGGAUCCCUCUUAACUGGGAUUUGCAGAUCAGUUUGAUAUCCGGGUUAGAAUGGGGACCCUGGGCAAGCAUUAACCAUGUUCAAGGUAGGUGCAGAUGUAAUCUAUGUAGUGUGAACCUAUGGAUAUUUAUUAUAUGUAACUUUUUUUGUGUUUAAUUGGGCUUGUUCCCAAGUAAGUUUGCUUAGGACUGGAAGGACAUGCAGGGCAAAUUCAUGUAUGAGAAGGGAAGGGAUGGGGGGAAGGAGCGCAUAAUCCUGUGGUGGACCAUCCCCCCCCCCCAAAGUAUUACAAGUGAAGUCAGGCAUAAUAGAAAAAGAGAACUCACUGGGUACACUCAGUCAUGGGGGUGAGCUCUUUUUGAAACUGAAAUGACAGACAUACUUAUUUCUGACUCAAGGCAUUGGCUCAGCUAUCGAUCUUGCCCCUUACAUACUUCAGGUAAAAUGUCUUACUCUCUCUUGUUAUUUUAAAAAGUGUUGCAUUCAUGCUUAUGUGUUUAUCCAGGACCUAACGUAAAUAUACAUAAACGUAAAUAUAUAAUGUAAAUAUACAGCUGCCUUGCAGAAUGGAAAAGCAACAUAAUACUUAACCUCUGGGAAAGGCAACAUCAUACUGUAUGUUCAGUCAUGUUUUUUCAAGCUCAACUCUGGAGAGGAAUAUGUACAUUUGGACUGUAUACAUGUGAUGAUGGCAUUUCCAGAUCAGCCCUACACUGCCCCAUGCAUAUCACAUCUGUCUUCUGUCUAAGACCUCAGGCUCAUGCAAAAACACCACUGCUCAGAGAUUCCUACUAGCUUCUGACAGGGUCUCUCAGUUUGUGAUUCAGUUAUUCUUUCUGCCUCUCCCCAGACUUAAUAAUUCAGAAGACCUCCAUGCUCUUCUCCUCACACAUAAGAGUACUUCACGUCAGAAAAAAUUAUAUGCAUUCCACUACACAAUACUCUGAAAUGGUUGAAAACAGUAUGGUCACCUGUACACGAAAUUGAUUUUGCAUUUUGUUUCAAGCUUGAAACAAAAUGCAGACGGCUGAAACAUUUUGUCAAAACAGCAGUUGAUGCAGUUGUUUUGACAGAACAAACCUCAAAACAUUUUGAGUGUUUUGGCCAUGGUGAACAAUCCUAUCAUAGGAUAGGAUCCCUACAUUUUGAAACUCCCUCCUUUCAGCUCCCCCUCCCACCCCCCACAGCCAAUGGGGGCACAGUUGCCCAUGGCAACACUUGAUUUGUGUGAUAAAAAGCCAACCAAGAACAAGGAGAUUGCAAGCCAAUCAGAAGCCAGAGCCAGAAAAGCAACCAGCAAGGAGGAAAAAGGCCUCCAAAAUGGUGCUCGAGAUGUCAAAAUGUUUCAGUCAAAACAGGAUUGUUUUGUUCUGAGCUCAAAACAGGUCCUCUAUUUAAAGGGUGUUCUGUUUCGAGUUCAGGGCACUCAAAACAGCCAAUUUUGAGUUGAAAUGUUUUGAUGUCGAAAUGUUUUGCACAUCCCUAAUCACCUGCAGUCUAGGUUUCUUGCAAAUGCACAGUUGUGCAACUCUACUUGAACAAAAGAGACGUACACACACACACACACACACACACACAGAGCAUGCAUCCAGAGGACAGUGACCCUGUUAUCCAGCUUAACAGACACAUAUAAAAAAGGAAAAGUCCCCAUAUAGACAAGAAGCAGAGGUCAACCAAAAGGCAAAUGUGAGCAAUACAAAACUAAACUGCCCAACCCGAUCCAACCCAAAAACACAGCAGUGCAAGCCUAGACACAGACGGUGUCUCCCUUCUCCUCCUUCCAAGUUCUUAAUGUUGGGCAGCUUGAAGGUGGGGCGGGGGAGACAUGAAAGAAAAGGAAAGGACUUCUGUAGCCUCAAGUUACUUUCAAGAAGUGCCCUCAUUCAAAAAUAAUCUGAACAGCUCUGGCAGAGUGUGUGGGUGGGAGGCAGGAGUGGGGAAGGUUGUUAGCAUACUGCAGCUUCCAGGCUGUAUUUUUAGGGCUGGCAUUUAGACUUGGCUCAGGUACAAAUGGCCAAGAAAUGUAUGGCAUUUCCACUUCCUGCCAGUUGAUAUGCUGCGUGCGUGUAUGUAACAUCCUAACUUAGAGGAGUAAUUUGCUCCAUCAGGUAGCACAUGAUACAGGUGUAGGCUCCUGUUUAAUUGUUCGUUCUCUGGCCUGCUUCUUACUGAACUGGUAAACCUCUUUAUGGACUGUACCACUUUGGAGUGUAAGGUGAGGGCUCACAUGAUUGAAUGCUGCUCCACAAAUAAAAAUCAGUACACACAGAGGCGCUUCACACGAUUGCUGUGAAGUGCCUCAAUGUCGUCUGCUGGGAGAGCGAGCUUAACCCACUCUCCCCGCAGAUGAUCGGCAGCGAAGAUUUGGGCAGCCGAAUC